rnacentral:misc_RNA from 1 species
GUGAAAUCGACUUUCCUCUUGAGCUCGGAUGAGAGAGUAUCGGAGUGGUUGGAGGGUUUAGUGAGGAAUCUUGCGCUAUCCCAAUCCCAAGCCUUAGGGUUCCAAGUAUGGGGAUGGAGUUGACCCUGAUGAUGGAAGUUGGGGACCUGAUACGAUAAGGCACGCUUCUUGGGGAUGGAAGGCAGAUCAGCGUAGCGACUGGUCAAGGGUUGGUGGAUGAAAAUAGGAGGAACAACUUGGG